rnacentral:sRNA from 1 species
AAAGAAGAAUGAAACGCAAAAAGAGUAAUAAAAAUGAAUAACGAGAAAAUUAUUGGCUUCU